ensembl:lncRNA
CAGGAAACACAGUGUCAGGAGGAGGCGCGCACACUCCCUUCAGCUUCGCCGAGGCCCCCGCCCCCCGCCUGAGCGCAGUCACUUCCGACCACCAGCUGUACCUUUUCCUUCGUCGGGCUCUGAACUCCUCUGCUGUUUUGCCAGUUAUCCUCCGGGUGCUCGUUAGAGCUACUCAGCUGGGUAAAAGAUAUAGCAUGAGGAGGAGACCAGCAAGGAAAUACUAUAACAGAAACCUCCCUGGUGCACUGUGAGAAUCGAGCGGUUCUCCGCCCUUCAAACGCGCACACUGACUCUGGGGGAAGCGACCACCCGAGUGUUCAAGUCAAUGAAUCGAAAACUUGAGUCAGGAUUGAUUUCCAGAAGAUUAAAAGCAGCGCCCUGUACACACAGUGGGGCGCGGAGACGUCGCAGGCGCGGCGAGGACACAAAGGCAGGCGGUUCCACCGCCCGCCCCGCCGCAGAAGCCGAUAGACGACGAUUCAGAGACGCGCCGCGGCCGCGCGCUGGAAGAGAGCCGGUGUGCACGCCCACAGCGCCUCGGUUUCUCAAGAGCUGGGAGCCCAGGGCCAGUGGCCGCCCCUGGACAGCACAGGUCUCGCUGGGCUCCUGUUGUGUGAGUUGCUCUCGCUGGCCCAGAGAUUGUCUGAAACCGCAGGCCCAGCGGCUCAGGAGGUGUCUCCACGCAGAGGGAAGUGUGGCUCCACCGAGAGCCGGGAUGAGGCAGCCUGGGGCCGCAGAGGCUGCUCCCCGCCCGCCCAGCCACCCGCAGCGCCAGAGCUGCAUAGAAAUACCCACGUAAGAAAUAGGGAGCAACUGUGUGCAGGCGAGGGGCGAUUUAUGGGCAGAAAUGGUUUUCUGUGUAGGGAAAGCUGUACGUGUGCACCCAUGUGCAUAGACGUGUAUGUGCAUGGUUGUACAUGUGUGUCUGUGUAUAUGUGCAUGUGUGUAUUGUGUGCAGGUAUGUGUCUGUGCAUGUGUCUGUGCAUGGGAGAGAAAGAUGAGAUGUGAGGAAUUCAUGUUUAUAGUGUUUUCUACUUGUUUUUCCGAUGAAAUAUUUUGGGGAGGAGACGUUGCACUGAGUGAAGCUACUCUGGGAGGAGCGCGUGCUAGAGCAAUUCUUCACCGCCUAGGGAGCUGUGCACGCCACACUUAAGGAUCUCUGGUGCACCAUCCAGGCAGCAAGACCCCUUUGCUCUCCUUGGUUGAAGGUCAGAUGACCCCAUCGUGUCCACUGUGAGGGGCCGACCUGGUCUCCCGGCUCAGGAGAGGAGGAGCAGCUCCUCUCCAGGACUGCCCGGGCCUCAGAGGGGACUCCCAGUCACACCAAGUCGGACCCUGAGCCGCUUCUCCUCGGCCAACACGGGGACAGCGAAACUCGAGAAUUCCCUGAUUGAGCAGCACCACCCACCUCCCACAAGGGAGAAACCCUGGACGAUGGCCCUGCUCUAGGGGCACAGGUGUCUUGUCCCAGCUCCCAGCUGGCCCCAGGAGACUGAGGGGAUGCACUAGGGGUCUGAGUUCUGCUCGGCCAUUUAAUAGCUAUUUGACCUUGGGCAUGUCACCGAACCUCUCUGAGCCUCAGUUUACCCCGAUGACAAAUGGGAGAAAUAGAACCUACCUCUUGGGUCUUUGGAGAGGACUGAAGGAAAUCAGGCACAAAAAUGAUAAGAUCAGACCUAGGAGGACCCCAUGUGUGUGAGGGAGGUGCAGCAAGUGCCCUUGCGUCAGCUCAGGGAGCUCAGCACCACCAGGGGCUGACCUGUCUCCCAGGGCCACCCAGCCUGGUUGUGGCCACUCCUCCUGUCCCAUGUCCCAUCAGCCUCAGUCCAUCCCCAAGUCUGUCAGCCCACUCGACCCACAUAGGGACCGAUUGUCUGAGGGGCAGACACCAUUCGUCCACCAAACACACCCUCUUCUCUGACCAUUGCCCACCAUUCGCACCCCUCAUGCUGCAAAGUGGUCACGUUUGAUUAUGUGUUACCUGAGGCAGAGAGAGAGAUAAAGACAGAGACAAGGAGAAAGAGAAUGACGGAGAGAGACAGAGACUUGGGAACAUGCUGGGCAGGGGAUUUGGCCUGGGUUCCAGAUGGUCUGUCUGGGUCAGCCCCUCAGGAGAGUCAGUGGUACCCCUACCUUGCAUUAAUGAGAUGCUCCUGGCACCAUACAGACUCUGCCUAAGCAGGUGCCAGUGGUUUCCGUGGUCCCUGGAGAGCCCCACAACUGGACAGGCACAAGUGGGUGGGGCAGCAGCCUGAGGUGCCCUCUCUCCAUGGAGGAGAGUGACUCCUCCCCGAGACUCCAGCCUGAUGGGCCCCUGUGCUGUGAUGGCCACAGUGCCCAGGGGGCAUGGGGCUUCCUCCCCGGGGUCCACAGUCUUGCUCUUGGUGUAACGGGGACCCCAGCCUCCUGUUUCCACUCAGAGCCCUCAGUCCCCCUCCUGCCUGCCCCAUACGGAUCCUAGUUGGUACCACCCACCAUGCCUGGCAUGAGCUCAGAGCCUGGCUGGCUGCACUCAACUCUAGUCGGCCCAUCCUCCUGUCUAGGCCCCACACAUCUGUCUGUCUGCUGCGGAAGGCUAAGGCCAGCCCCACUUGGUCUGGGCGCUCGCCUGUGACUAGGCAACUUGGACAGGAACUGAGCAUCUGAAUGGGGAAGUGAGGCCCUGGGCGUCCGUCAUGAGGAGCAUGCCCCGGUGCCAGAAGGAAACGGUGGUUCUACUGGUAUAUUUUGUGUUCUGGGUGGUGGCCUCUGGGAUGACCCUGUGGCCUCAGUCCUGGUGUGGGCUGGACCCAGCAACACUUCUGCAUCCUGAGUAGAAAACAGACACAUUGAAUGAGGUGGGAUAUCACUUCCAAGACCAGGUCACAAAGGAAGGAUGAGGCUGCUCCAGCUGGCCCCUCCCCACCUCCCCUUGGCUUCGCUCUGGAGGCUGAGCCUCUGAGGGGAUGGCAGCCCAGGCUGACACCUGGAGCAGAGUUCCUGCUAAGCUGUGCUGGGAUUCCUGAGCCAAAUAUCUGUGCUUUUGAGCUGCCCGGUGAGGGCUGUUUGCUACAUAGAGUGGAGAACACCCAUGAUCAUUACCACAUUUGUUCCUUGUCUAGGUGCGACCUCUGAAGGGCAACUACAGCCCGUCUAGUUGGAUGCUGACCCUGGACCUUGCCCUUGGUGUUAGUCCCAGGAUUGGAGGUAAAUGCUCUCUGCCUGCCCAGCCACGGCCACACCCCACAAGACAGUGGUCAGAGGACAAGGAAGGCAGCAACUGCCGCCAGCAGCAGGGGCGAGAGCCGGGCAGGGCAACAAGAAGAGGCUGUGUGCUGACCAGCCUUCAGAACACGCUAAGAUGCUCUUGCUCGGGAAGUGGCAGGGGCCGAACACUGUUCGAGUGAUGGAAGAACCGAAGGUCCAGGAGACAAUGGGGAGGACCAUCCACACCACAGGGCUGCACGUCGGUGCCGGGUGGUCCCGUCCACCGCCUGACAGCCUCCUUCCACAGUGAGAAAGGGUUUCCCGGCUUCCAGGUCCUGCGGCACCGUGGAUGGUGGACAGAGCCGACUGCCCGCCGGGCCUUCCGAAGCUGCUGCCGACGGCUUAGGUGGUCGGCCUGCACCCAGCUGACAACUAGCCCAAGAGAGGGGGCUGCAUCUCCUGGGUGGGGACUGUGGGGCCUGCACGGGGAGCUCGGCUGGGUCCGUGUGCUGCGACUUCUCAGGGAUAGGGCAGCCUUUCUCGAUUCGGGGACACCGGAUGCAUCUCAGUGCGCAUCUGGGGUUGGCAGCUGCCGCCUUGGAAUUAAGUCAAAGGCAGAAAGCUGAAUCCAAGACAGGGCACGUCUGAAUCCCUGGGAGAGCUCCCUGGAUGCAGGCUCCGAGCGCUCCUGGAAGGCCUGGCUCUGCAGGUUAAGUGGAAGGCCAGGGCACCUGGACCCAGGGGACCACAGACCAUCCUCUGAGAAGCAAAGCAUGGACGGCGCCUCCUGAAACAGAUGAGCUGCAUCAGGAGGGAGCUGAAGAUCAAAAGCAGGGUUCACGUUUAGAAAUUAGGGCUCUCGGCCGGAGCUCAAGCCGUGUGCCCUGUGCCCUGGUCCUGCUCUCGGGUGGCCCCACUAGGAGGGCUUUUGGGGUCUCAGCUGGUCACUCAGGGCCUCCCGAUGAAGCGCCAGGGUCCAGGCUGCUCCAGGAUGGACCGCAGUGUCACCUCAACCACUGCAGGCUGUCAGGGGUGGCCCUCUGGCUGAGCAGAGGUUCUCCCUGUGACCCGGCCUGAUGACCUGAGGCCAAAGGGGCCCUGGCCGGCCGGUAAAGGCUUAUGGGGAGGCCAGGGGGCUGGAGAGGCCUCACGAAGCCUCAUCUGGGCAGAGCAGGUCAGCACUCACUGCCCUGGGCCGGCCGGGCUCUGCUGACCGCUGGCCCCAGCCCCCCACGCCAGUUCCUCCUUGACCGCCUGCCCCUCUGAGCCUUUACUGGAGCCGCUCCUGGGCCAGGCGGACCCCGUCCAGGCUCUUGGUCAGGCUUGUCUCGUUGAUCCCUCAGGGAGGCUCUGUGAAAUAGGUACCAGUGGCCUGGUUUCCAGGGGCGUGAGCAGACACAGGUGCAGGGAAAUUCAAGCCUCACUUGCUGCCUCUGAACCCAGCGAGCUCUCUGUGUCGACACCCACCACCCUCAGACUGGGUAAUGGGUAACGGGACUCCGGUUGGGCUGUGGAGGCACGGUGGGAAACUGGUUGGCAGAAGGUCCUUGAGCAAAGGGUCCUCCUGAUGUCCUGGGACCCCUCACCAUGUAAGACGUUCCACCCACUCCGAGGGGACGAUGGUGGCACCGACAGAGGCUGAUGGACACUGAACCUGGGGCGGAGCCCACCUUCUCCUCUGGAGACUUCCCCAAACCGGUCUUGCAGGUGGGGGAGUGGGGGGGCGGGAGGGGCCCUCCUGGUGGCUGUCACAGCCCUUGGCUGACCCGACAGCAAGCCCCAGCCCCUGAGGGACCAGGCGUCUCUUAGUGGUGGCAGUGGGCAGGGUGGAUGGAGGGGGCAUCCCCCACUGAGCUCCUGCCUCCUCCUGCAAACCUGCGCUUCCUCAAGCAAAUGGACCCGAGGGCCCAGGGAGCCAUUUGACUGCAGGUGAGGCCCAGCCGGAGCGCUGUGGGUGGUUUCGAAUUUCAAUUGUUCCUGUCUUGAGCGGCUCCACCAGCUGUGAGAUCUGGCCUUGAACAUUAGUCCACUCCGCUCCUCUGUCAAGAGGGCCUUUCCAAACCGUGUUCCCUCCCUGUUUAGUGCUGCCUGACGGCCUCCCUGCGCUUUCAGGAUAAAGAGGAAAGCCCUUCUCUUCCCUCCUGGCUCCCUUUCCAACUGAGGCCUCUCUGUGCUCUGGGUCUAGGCUCCCUGGCCUUCUUUCCAUCUUGGGUUCUCUGUUAUCUCUGACCACAGGGCCUUUGCACCUGCUGUUCCCUCUGCUUGCAACCCUCUUUGCUGGUUUCAGAUUUCAUCUCAAUAUCCCUUCUUUUGGGAAGCCUUGCCUGACUUUUUGACUAGAGAAAUCCCCGUUUUACCUUCCCAGAGAACCAUCUUCUGCUCUUUCACAUAAUUAGCACAAUGACGUUUCACAUUUGCUUGAGUGACUAGUUAGUUUUUAUUCGUGUCCACCAUCAGACUUGCUUCCACUUAUCUAUUACCGCAUAACAUCUACCUCCAAAACUGAGUGGCAAAAAAUUUACUCAUUUUAUUAUGCCCAUGAUUUUUUGGGUCUGGAACUCGGGCAGAGCAGAGAUGUCUCAGCUGGGGCGGCUCAGACUUUCAGAGCUGGCUGGGAUGGCUCCACUGGGGCAGGGUUCCUUCAUGUCUUCCACGUCCUGUCUGCUGGGGUGGGAAUGUGCAAGGUGGCUCCUUCCCUCACAGAGCUGGGCCAGCCAGAGUGAUGGGCUGGGCCGGGUAUCCCUCUUUCUCCACAAAGCUGGCUUGUGGGUCUCACGGCAUGGCAGUCCUGGGUGUCAGACACUGUGCGUGGUCACUGCCUUCCCCAGAGCAGGACCCAGGAGAGCAGGAGGCAGCUGAGGGCUUCUUCUAACCCAUCUGGAAGUGUCCGUCACAUUCCACUGGCAUCGCAGGGCCAGCCCAGGUUCAAGGCGGGACCACAUAAGGGCAAUUCCCCAGGGGACGUCUCUGGAGGCCAGCCCCCAGAGACAGAAGGCCAGGCAUGAGGAGAGGGGCCCUGUGUGUUCUGUGCUCCAGAAGGUGCUCAGGAUAGUGGCUGAAUGAACGAGUGAGUGAACGUAAACUUGAGACUAAGACUGGGGAGACUGCCAAGACACUAAAUUCCUUGAGAGCAAGAAAAAUAAAUAUUGGCUAUUGGUAGCACCCCGUCGAAGGCACACGCAUUCUGCCCAAUGUGUAGGAUUGUUAAAUGGAGACCUACUUCUCACUUCUGUUUGGACUCGACACCAAGGCGUUCCUGAGGAGUCUGGUGUCACACCCAAGCCCCGUGGGCUGCGGGGACACCAAGGGAAUUGAGUUUAGAGGACAAUUUAGAAGCUAGGAACUCCCAUGAACACUCACUGUCUAAACGGAAGCAGCAGGUGAAGACCCACAAUGGAAGAAGACCCUGGCUUUGCAGAGGUAUCCAAAAAUCUUGAAGGGGUUCCUUCUCUUUUCAACCUGUCCUAUGAUAAUCUCUUUAUUGACACAAUUUCUGGCUGAACCUAUUGGGAGAGUAUUUUCACUACAAUUUUGAAAUGCAAGUCGAUGAGACAGUGGGAUGUGCACAGGAAUUCUAACACCAUCCACGGAUUUGAGAGCAAAUGCUUUCAGGUGGGUGACAUGCACCACAGACAUUGGAAUCGUGUGGAAGGUGGACUCUGGCUGCGAGGCCCAGCCAGGAGAGGUGGGGCCUGCAGCCCUUUGAUAAACAAAUGGCAAGCAAUAGGAUAUUGGAGUAUAUGAGGAAGCCAUUUAGUGUAAAAUUAAUUUGGCCUGACCUUGUUUUUCCAAAAGGGCCUGACGUGGCCGAUGAGCAUGCAUUUCAUAUGUCCCAAAGACAAGAACGAAUGGGCUUAAGAUAAAGAUGCAACUUCCCCCACAUUGGCAUUUCCUUAAGGAUAAGCAUCUUUGUCUAGCCCUAGGAACUGAUUGCUGCACCCACCUGUGACCACCCAGCUCACCUGUGAUCACCCAGCUCGAGACCACAGACCUGCCACCUGCUGUGUCCAUUAAUCACUGUGCUGACAGAGCAGUCUCAUGACUAUUGUACAAGAACAAUUUCAAUCACAUGUGACACAUGCUCUUUGACAGUAUAUAACCACUCUGUACACCCCACUUCUUUGGUGCCCUUCCUUCCUUGGGGAAGGAGGCCCUGGGCUAAGCUAGUCCUCAGAUGUGGCUCAUAAUAAACUCAUCCCAGUUUGAUUUAUAGAUUGGUUAUGGAUUAUGUGUCUCGACACCUGUCUGCUGACAGGUUUCACUGACUGAGCCACGGUGGCUUUCCAGACCCUCGUCUCUGACUUGGGGGCCUGAAGGUUUGUUCCUCCUGGGUGAAGCUCACGACUUGGUUUCCAUCAAUUGUUUUGUGAAUGGAAAUGAAAAAGUUCAAAAGACUCAAUAGCCUACUGAGGGUGAAUCACGUUUCUUAUUGUCCACUUUAAAUGCACAGGAAUUGUUCUCGCCUGUGGAUUAGCCUGAGCGAUGUGGGAAAGCCACACAAUGAUGACACUGGUGUGUGUCCUAAAAACCCUAGCAUAUGCCGGCACGUGGCCGCCCCAUCCAUUGUUGGUCCACUCCUGCCAUCCUUCCAAACAGUGGCUUGAAUUCAAAUUCGGGGCCCUCAGGCAGACAUUGCAGAAAGAGCGUCAGUGUCAACAAACUCCACCCUAUACCUCCCGUCAGAGCCUGGGUCUGCCCCAGGGCACAGAAGCAUCCAGAGGGAAAAACCCGUAAUGAUCUUAAAAGAUGAUGUGAAAUUUCCAGCCUCCUUUCUCUUCGCAAACGUUCACCGCAGCUCUCCAGGCUCGUGUCUGAGUUUCGCUCCGGCAGCUGGAGGACAGAGUCCAGGUUUCUGCUACACAGUCUGACCCUCGGCAGCAUCAGCAUCACCCGGGACUGUUAGAAAUGCAGACUCUCAGGCCCCACGCCGGCUGCCGGACAAGGUCUGCACUUUAGCCAGGGGUCCAAGUGCUUCCCAGGCAUGAAGUUUAAGGAGCUGGAGGGGCGGCUUCCCAUCUCCUCCCCCUACCCCCACGACUGGAGCAGCCUGGGGCUCUGCCUUCUAUUUUAGGUAAAAGAGCCCCACAUCACUGGCUCUCCGCGGGUGACGGGCCUCGCCUUCUGCAUCAGGGGCGACCUGGGUAGUAGGUGCUUCUCCAUUUCUCAGGGACAGCUCCACUCGUUUCUUCUUCUCCAUCCUUAAUACUUGGGUAUUUCAAAUGCUGAUGCUGUUGGCAAUCCCUGUUCUACUUUCAAAAGAUGAAUAAUUUGGCCCUGGAGGAAAAAGCAGUCUUCUGAAAUUAAGGGACGGCAGACGGCCUUGUCCACCGAAGAAACCCACCCAAACAGCCAUCCUGAAGCCAGAGAUGCUCCCUGCCUCCAAGGCCACAGCACAGGGCGUGAAGGUCACCAGUGAAGCUCAUGAUGAGCUCCAUUGCUUCCCCUGUGAAUUCCUCCUCAGAGCGCUCUGCAGGCUCCCGUGGAGCUUCUAACCCGUCAGUCGAGCUUCUAACCAGUCGGUGCAGACGUGCCUCUCUGCCCCGGGACUGCAGCAGCCUUGCUUUGCCUCAGCUUCCUCUGAAAUGCCCGUGUGACGUCCUGACAAGGUCUGCCCAGGACCGGCAUGCUUCCAGGGGAUGUUCCCGUGUCUCGCGGCUCAGACACAGAUACCUGAGCACACCUGGCUUGGGGCCCAGCACUGCCCGCGGCCGGCUGCAGACUUCACCCAGCGGCUUUUAUCUAG